rnacentral:rRNA from 1 species
GACGAACGCUGGCGGCGUGCUUAACACAUGCAAGUCGAACGCUGAAGCUCAGCUUUUGUUGGGUGGAUGAGUGGCGAACGGGUGAGUAACACGUGAGUAACCUGCCUCCUUCUUUGGGAUAACGCCCGGAAACGGGUGCUAAUACUGGAUAUUAACUGGUCUUCCCCUGGGGGUUGGUGGAAAGGGUUUUUCUGGUGGGGGAUGGGCUCGCGGCCUAUCAGCUUGUUGGUGGGGUGAUGGCCUACCAAGGCUUUGACGGGUAGCCGGCCUGAGAGGGUGACCGGUCACAUUGGGACUGAGAUACGGCCCAGACUCCUACGGGAGGCAGCAGUGGGGAAUAUUGCACAAUGGGCGCAAGCCUGAUGCAGCGACGCCGCGUGAGGGAUGGAGGCCUUCGGGUUGUGAACCUCUUUCGCUCAUGGUCAAGCCGCAACAAUGGUUGUGGUGAGGGUAGUGGGUAAAGAAGCGCCGGCUAACUACGUG